rnacentral:sRNA from 1 species
GACCUACCCCUCAUGAAAUAUGAGGCAAGGUUGAAAAUAGCCGGAUUAGGCAUAAAGAACCCAUCAUGGGGUCGCCUAAUCCGCCAUAUCGGGAAACCGGUAUGAGAGUCUUCGGACUCU